UACAGAGGGUGCAAGCGUUAAUCGGAAUUACUGGGCGUAAAGCGCGCGUAGGUGGUUUGGUAAGUCGGUUGUGAAAUCCCCGGGCUUAACCUGGGAAUUGCAGUCGAUACUGCCUGACUCGAGUGUGGGAGAGGGAAGCGGAAUUUCCGGUGUAGCGGUGAAAUGCGUAGAUAUCGGAAGGAACACCAGUGGCGAAGGCGGCUUCCUGGCCCAACACUGACACUGAGGCGAGAAAGCGUGGGUAGCGAACAGG
rnacentral:rRNA from 1 species